AAGACUGGGAUAACUCCGGGAAACCGGGGCUAAUACCGGAUGGUUGUUUGAACCGCAUGGUUCAGACAUAAAAGGUGGCUUCGGCUACCACUUACAGAUGGACCCGCGGCGCAUUAGCUAGUUGGUGAGGUAACGGCUCACCAAGGCGACGAUGCGUAGCCGACCUGAGAGGGUGAUCGGCCACACUGGGACUGAGACACGGCCCAGACUCCUACGGGAGGCAGCAGUAGGGAAUCUUCCGCAAUGGACGAAAGUCUGACGGAGCAACGCCGCGUGAGUGAUGAAGGUUUUCGGAUCGUAAAGCUCUGUUGUUAGGGAAGAACAAGUGCCGUUCAAAUAGGGCGGCACCUUGACGGUACCUAACCAGAAAGCCACGGCUAACUACGUGCCAGCAGCCGCGGUAAUACGUAGGUGGCAAGCGUUGUCCGGGAAUUUAUUGGGCGUAAAGGGGCUCGCAGGGCGGUUUCUUAAGUCUGAUGUGAAAGCCCCCCGGCUCAACCGGGGAGGGUCAUUGGAAACUGGGGAACUUGAGUGCAGAAGAGGAGAGUGGAAUUCCCACGUGUAGCGGUGAAAUGCGUAGAGAUGUGGAGGAACACCAGUGGCGAAGGCGACUCUCUGGUCUGUAACUGACGCUGAGGAGCGAAAGCGUGGGGAGCGAACAGGAUUAGAUACCCUGGUAGUCCACGCCGUAAACGAUGAGUGCUAAGUGUUAGGGGGGUUUCCGCCCCUUAGUGCUGCAGCUAACGCAUUAAGCACUCCGCCUGGGGAGUACGGUCGCAAGACUGAAACUCAAAGGAAUUGACGGGGGCCCGCACAAGCGGUGGAGCAUGUGGUUUAAUUCGAAGCAACGCGAAGAACCUUACCAGGUCUUGACAUCCUCUGACAAUCCUAGAGAUAGGACGUCCCCUUCGGGGGCAGAGUGACAGGUGGUGCAUGGUUGUCGUCAGCUCGUGUCGUGAGAUGUUGGGUUAAGUCCCGCAACGAGCGCAACCCUUGAUCUUAGUUGCCAGCAUUCAGUUGGGCACUCUAAGGUGACUGCCGGUGACAAACCGGAGGAAGGUGGGGAUGACGUCAAAUCAUCAUGCCCCUUAUGACCUGGGCUACACACGUGCUACAAUGGACAGAACAAAGGGCAGCGAAACCGCGAGGUUAAGCCAAUCCCACAAAUCUGUUCUCAGUUCGGAUCCGCAGU
rnacentral:rRNA from 1 species